rnacentral:rRNA from 1 species
GAUGAACGCUGGCGGCGUGCCUAAUACAUGCAAGUCGAGCGAACAGAUGAGGAGCUUGCUCCUCUGACGUUAGCGGCGGACGGGUGAGUAACACGUGGAUAACAUACCUAUAAGACUGGGAUAACUUCGGGAAACCGGAGCUAAUACCGGAUAAUAUAUUGAACCGCAUGGUUCAAUAGUGAAAGACGGUUUUGCUGUCACUUAUAGAUGGAUCCGCGCCGCAUUAGCUAGUUGGUAAGGUAACGGCUUACCAAGGCAACGAUGCGUAGCCGACCUGAGAGGGGGAUCGGCCACACUGGAACUGAAACACGGUCCAGACUCCUACGGGAGGCAGCAGUGGGGAAUCUUACGCAAUGGGCGAAAGCCUGACGGAGCAACGCCGCGUGAGUGAUGAAGGUCUUCGGAUCGUAAAACUCUGUUAUGAGGGAAGAACAAAUGUGUAAGUAACUAUGCACGUCUUGACGGUACCUAAUCAGAAAGCCACGGCUAACUACGUG